GAGAGCUAUAUAGCAGCGGCAGCGCUCUGGCGUCGCUCAUACUGCCGGAGAGAACGAAACAAACAGAAGUAGAAGUUGCAGUUUGUAACGUGAAGCAAUUCUACGCUUGUAUGAAGUCAUAUCAGUUGGAAAUCACACAUUACGGUCUCCCUGCCAGAGAGAAUUAGCCAGAGUGGGGGUUGAAUGGAGGGGUGGAGGCUGCUCUAUCCAUGCAGCAGGUCAGAUGCCGGGGGACAAGAUUGAGUCUUGCCUCUUCCUCUUUGGCCAGAGAGCUCUACCGAGGGACAAAGGAUGCUGGAAAGAAGAAGCAGAUCAAACCCCAGUUGGCAGUGCAGCGGUCGCCGACGUGGCAGAGUGCGGGAAGGGGAAUCAGAGGAGAAGUAAGAGGUUGCAGCAUGAGAUCAUAGGAGUCACACUGAGGCGCAUGCACUGAAAUGACCCUGACCUCUAACACCUUUGCUCUUGCAUGAGAGAACACCUUUUUGUGGCUUUGGAUGGAAGAAGCGAGUGUAGGAGAAGAGAAAUGAAGAGCAUGGUGCCGUCCUUCACCAUUAUUAUCGGGUUUUUGGAAGGGGCUCUGCAAUGGCACAAAAAAAGGUCCUCUUUGAAAAGAAGGUUUUCAGAUUCGGACCCCUUGAGAACAGAAUGAUUAAUUUAGCACAAGGAAUAAUACUUUGGAUGAUAAAGGGAAUACAUUUAUCUUUUUGCUUUCAUCCUGACUGUGUGCGGGAGAGCCCAGGAAACCUUGAGGGAAAUUGAACCGUACAGAUUCAGUCUGGAAUUCUUUCAAAUGGUUCCAAAGCCAUGAGAGUGCGCUGGAUCAUCUCUGGUUUAGCAUCCACCAGAUCCAGUCUGUAUCCAGAUCAGAGGGUCACUGCAGUCACCCGGAUCCAGUACGUAUCCAGCCCAGAUGGUGGAUCAGCACCUAGAAAGGACCUCUACAGCCCUGAAAGACAGCGGAGGCCUGGACAACUAGAUGAGCCGCAGAGACAGAUCCCCUGUGAAGACCUUGUCUCAGACGACCAUCAGGACAAGACCACAGGAAACAGAUGAUUCUUCUGCACAAUCUGACUUUGCUGCAGCCUGGAAUUGAACUGCUGGUUUCAUCUGGCCAGAGGAGAACUGGCCCCCC
ensembl:lncRNA